rnacentral:rRNA from 1 species
UCACGAAAGUGGGCUGUACUAGAAGUCGUCGCGCUGACCGCAAGGAGGCAGACGCCCAAGGUAUGGCUCAUGAUUGGGGUG